ACGGGGUGCAGCAGGCGCGAAACCUUUACACUGUACGCAAGUGCGAUAGGGGAACUCCGAGUGCGAGGGCAUAGAGCCCUCGCUUUUGUGAACCGUAAGGUGGUUCACGAAUAAGGACUGGGCAAGACCGGUGCCAGCCGCCGCGGUAAUACCGGCAGUCCAAGUGAUGGCCAAUUUUAUUGGGCCUAAAGCGUCCGUAGCUGGCCAGGCAAGUCCGUUGGGAAAUCUGCACGCUUAACGUGCAGGCGUCCAGCGGAAACUCUCUGGCUUGGGACCGGAAGGCUCGAGGGGUACGUCUGGGGUAGGAGUGAAAUCCUGUAAUCCUGGACGGACCGCCGAUGGCGAAAGCACCUCGAGAAGACGGAUCCGACAGUGAGGGACGAAAGCUAGGGUCUCGAACCGGAUUAGAUACCCGGGUAGUCCUAGCCGUAAACGAUGUUCACUAGGUGUGGCACAGGCUACGAGCCUGUGCUGUGCCGUAGGGAAGCCGAGAAGUGAACCGCCUGGGAAGUACGUCCGCAAGGAUGAAACUUAAAGGAAUUGGCGGGGGAGCAC
rnacentral:rRNA from 1 species